rnacentral:tRNA from 2 species
GUGUAGCUCAGCUGGCUAGAGCGUACGGUUCAUACCCGUGAGGUCGGGGGUUCGAUCCCCUCCAC